rnacentral:misc_RNA from 1 species
GAUGAAGAACGUAGCGAAAUGCGAUACGUAAUGUGAAUUGCAGAAUUCAGUGAAUCAUCGAAUCUUUGAACGCAUAUUGCGCUCUCUGGUAUUCCGGAGAGCAUGCUUGUUUGAGUAUCAGUAAACACCUCAACUCCCUUUUCUUUUUUGAAAUUGGAGCUGGACUUGAGUGAUCCCAACGCUUUCUUCCAAGAAAGUGGCGGGUUGCUUGAAAUGCAGGUGCAGCUGAACUUUUCUCUGAGCUAUAAGCAUAUCUAUUUAGUCUGCCUAAAAAACAGAUUAUUACCUUUGCUGCAGCUAACAUAAAGGAGACUAGUUCUUGUGUUGACUGAUGCAGGAUUCACAGAGACAGCUUCGGCUGACUUUGUAAACUCGAUCUCAAAUCAAGUAAGACUACCCGCUGAACUUAAGCAUAUCAAUAAGCGGAGGA